rnacentral:tRNA from 1 species
AGAGACUUAGGAUAGAAAAAGACCAAGGGCCUUCAAAGCCCUAAGCGGGAGUGAAAAUCUCCCAGUCCCUG